rnacentral:tRNA from 1 species
GGCUGUAGCUCAGUGGUAGAGUGCUUGCCUAGCAUGCGUGAGGCACUGGGUUCUAUCCUCAGCACCA